rnacentral:misc_RNA from 1 species
UACGAGUGCUCCAAGCGUUAUCCGGAAUUAUUGGGCGUAAAGGGUGUGUAGGUGGUUGUGUUAGUCUUCUGUUAAAUUCUUCGGCUUAACCGGGGGCAUGCAGAAGAAACGGCACAACUAGAGGAUGCGAGAGGUAUAUGGAACUCAUGGAGUAGGGGUGAAAUCCGUUGAUAUCAUGGGGAACACCAAAAGCGAAGGCAAUAUACUGGCGCACUCCUGACACUGAAACACGAAAGCGUAGGUAGCGAAUGGG